GCGGCCAUUUUGCAAUUUACUCCUCAUCCUUUUCCCGACAAAACCCGAAGUCCCUCUGUGUAGUUGUUUUCUUCCUCCUUGCUCUCCGACCGACUGGCGCCGCCUGCGCCGCUCCCCUCCACGCAGCUCCAAGCCGCCUGUGCCUUCUCUCCCUUCCCCGCGGUUCCUCUCCCUCCCCAGCGCCGGCGCCCUCUACCUUGCGCGCGUCACCGGCGCUCUCUUCCUCUCGCAUGUCCCUCCGCAUCGGUGAAAAUGUGAUUUUUCCCCUCCGGCACUCCGAUCUGCAGCGGCCGUGCUCAAUCUACGUCGGGGACUACCAAGACGGUGCGACGGAGCUGCUUCUGCCGGUCGCCUGCACGGAGCUGCUGCUACCGGUCGUCAGGUGAGGAGCGCGUCUCCUGCAGCCGCGGCUACCUGGCCACGCAGCAGCGGCGACGGGAUGGUGGCGGCAAGGGGGAUCCUCUGUCCGCUCUAGGACUCCACACGGCCAAGGGGGCGAGCUCCUCCGUCCGCUCUAGGACUCCACACGGCCAAGGGGACGAGCUCCUCCGUCCACUCUAGGACUCCACCGCCAAGGAGGCACGCCCUUGCAUCGGGGAGGUGCUCGAGCUUGUCAAAGGAGGUGCUCGAGCUUGUCAAAGCCGCCAGCAGCAGCAGUAGCACAGGCGUGGGAAGGCAAUUGGAGGCAGCAGCAGAGUUCGUGAAUCGGGAGGCGUCGGCGUCGGCCACCACCAGAAGAGGCGUCGCCGACCACCAGCAGCAGGUGGUUCCCCUUCUUCUUGGUGCUACUCGUCAGCAGCAGCUGGCGGUCGAAGCGGGCCUUCGCGGGGGCGAUGCGCGACAGAAUCAGGGGCGGCGACCUGUGUCCUAGGUGGCGCCGGUCCUGCUCAUUGGUGGGCGGGCGGCGGAGAUCCUGCUCGUGGGUGGCGGAACGGCGCGCCGGCGGUGGGCGGCGGAACCAAUUGGCCGAGGCCCCGCUCGUGGUGGGUGGGUGGCGGAGGUCCUCCUGGGCGGGCUCGUCGGCCGCGCAGGGCAUGUUUGUCGGCGUCCUCCUGGGCGGGCUCGUCGGCGGCGCAGGACCUGCUCGAGCAACGGGCGGCUGGCCAUGGGGGGUGGGGCCGCGUGGGCGAUGGACGGAGGAGGAAGAAGGGGACGGGGACUUAUUUGUCAUAGCUUUAAAAGCAUAAGGGCUUUUUUGGAAAAACGCCACUGUACUGCGCUCACGACAUGAAUUUCGGGACGGAGGGAGUACGUUUCUUGA